rnacentral:rRNA from 1 species
CACUAGCGUAUAUUAAAGUUGUUGCAGUUAAAAAGCUCGUAGUUGGAUUUCUGGUGGGAGCGAUCGGUCUGGCGCUUAGCGCGAGUACUUGCAUCGUCUCCGGCCAUCCUUGGGGAGAGUCUGUCUGGCAUUAAGUUGUCGGGCAGAGGAUCCUCAUCGUUUACUGUGAAAAAAUUAGAGUGUUCAAAGCAGGCUUAUGCCGUUGAAUAUAUUAGCAUGGAAUAAUAAGAUAGGACUUUGGUACUAUUUUGUUGGUUUGCGCACCAAAGUAAUGAUUAAUAGGGACAGUUGGGGGUAUUCGUAUUCCGUUGUCAGAGGUGAAAUUCUUGGAUUUACGGAAGACGAACUACUGCGAAAGCAUUUACCAAGGAUGUUUUCAUUAA